CCACAGUAAUCUUAACAAAUACUUAUUACUUAACUAAAGAUUCCCUUCAUUUUCUGCUGAGCCAGAAGAUCACGGUAGACGGUUUUCAUCAAAAGGUCUAGAAAACCCUUUGAGGCUGUGAAUCAUGUCUACUGGUUCCAGCUGGAUUCCCAGAGUUGGAUAAAUCUCAUGGAAUCUCACAGGAAGAAGUGAUGGAUUUGGAUGCAAAGAAACUGGGUUCAAAUUGAUUAAUGCUAUUAGAAUCAUAGCUGCUCCACAGAUCCUGGAAUUGGGUAUUAAUUUCUGCUCUCUAUGUUCCCUGUCAUUGAUGUCAUGUCUACAAAAUACAAACCACUUGAACUACUUCUUCAUCAGUACUGUGAAACAAUUAGAUAAU
rnacentral:lncRNA from 1 species